GUCAGUUGGCUGCUGCAAGAAGAAGGAAGUGUCAGUGCUUAGAGGAGCUGCCUAUGAGAAAUGUCAAGGAGCUGCAAGAAAAGAAGUUGGAGGCCUGCUGAGAAGUAUAAAACUGGAUCAAAGGGCACACCUUCAGGCAUUGUGAGUCUAAUGAGUAAAGCAAGCAGUCACCACCAUUUUGGGGUGUUUCAGCUCCAGCAGGAUCUUAGCAGGUGACACAAAAUCCAAGUGUGCUUGUGAGAGAGAAGAACAAAGGCCUGAAGGUUAAAUCUGUUCAGUCCUGUGCCUAAUACAGCUUUUCACUGCAGUGCCUAGGUAGGAACUAGAGCUAAGGUGUCCUGCCAAAGACAUCUUUUGCUUGUUUGUUUUGCUUUGGUGAAUAUGAAGUGCAAUUAAGAAAAUCAGUUUUUUAUGCAGGAAUGUGAGAUGUGGCACGUAUCUGCUAUUGAGUUGCCUCCAAAUGAACCUUUUUCCAUUUAAGAGAUGCUUAAUCCCACUCAUGAUUAAGAUCUUUGCCAUAGAUUUCAGAAUCUGUUUGUAUCAAGACAUGUUAAAAUCCAAUUUGUAUUUAGUAAUGAAGGAAAUACCAAGAAUUACAAACAAGCCGUUGUAAACCCCUUUCUGCAUCCA